AACAAACGCUGGCGGCGUGCAUAACACAUGCAAGUCUAACGGGAAAGUCGGCUUCGGCUGGCAAGUACCGUGGCGAACGGGUGAGUAACACGUGGGUAAUCUGACCUCAAGCUCGGGAUAACCCUGCGAAAGCGGGGCUAAUACCGGAUAAGACCACGCCUACCUCGGUGGGUGCGGUAAAAGGUAGCCUCUUCUUGAAAGCUGUCACUUGAGGAUGAGCCCGCGGCCUAUUAGCUAGUUGGUGGGGUAACGGCCUACCAAGGCGACGAUGGGUAGCCGGCCUGGGAGGGUGUACGGCCACACUGGCACUGAGAUACGGGCCAGACUCCUACGGGAGGCAGCAGUGGGGAAUUUUGCGCAAUGGGGGGAACCCUGACGCAGCAACGCCGCGUGAGUGAUGAAGGCCUUCGGGUCGUAAAGCUCUUUUAGUGGGGAAGAAUCCCAUCCGGGCUAACAUCUCGGGUGGAUGACGGUACCUACAGAAAAAGUUCCGGCUAACUACGUGCCAGCCGCCGCCGUAAAAC
rnacentral:rRNA from 1 species